GCUAGAAAGCUAGCUCAGACAUUUUAGCAAAAAUGACAAUUUAAUUAUACUACGCACAUCAAUAAAUACCAGUAAAUCAAAUCAUUUGGCCCCCCUAGUAUGGGUGACAGAAAAGGAUAAAAUGACGCCAUAGAUACAGUACCGCAAGGGAAAGCUGAAAAAGGAAUGAAAGAACCCAUCAAAGCAAAGAAAAGCAGAGAACACCCCUCGUACCUUUUGCAUCAUGAUUCAGCCAGUAAAACACAUGCAAAGAGACCUCUAGUCAGUGCCCCCGAAACCCGACGAGCUACUCCGGGACAGCUUAUUCGGAGCCAACCCAUCUCUGUGGCAAAAGAGUGGGAAGAUCCCCGAGUAGCGGCAAAAAACCUACCGAGCCGGGUUAUAGCUGGUUGCCCAAAAAAUGAAUAAAAGUUCAGCCCCGCACAGCCCAACUCAAUACAGUUAGACUACAAAAGACAGAGAGCUUCCAAGCGGGAGUUAAUCAGAGGAGGUACAGCUCCCCUGAUAAAGAACACAAUCUUUAAAGGAGAUUAAGGAAUAAAGUAACACAAGGUCACAGGUCUCAGUGGGCCUGAAAGCAGCCAUCUGCCCAGAAAGCGUUAAAGCUCAGACCAAAAAAAGCCUAUUAUCACAUUAAACACCCCAAAAUCCCUUGACACUAUUGGGCCUCUCUAUGCCCCCAUAGAAGAGACGAUGCUGAAACGAGUAACAAGAAGAUUGAACUUCUCCUAGCAUAAGUGUAUGCCGGAUCGGACCCCCCACCGGUGAUUAACGAACCCAAAAAAAGAGGGCCUCACACCACUUCCCCUCGGGCCAGGAAAAUCGUGUUCCAAUAAUCGUUACCCCCACACAGGAGUGCUAUAACCAAGGAAAGACUAAAAGAAAAAAAAGGAACUCGGCAAGCCUAAACCCCGCCUGUUUACCAAAAACAUCGCCUCUUGCCCAUCUCUGUAUAAGAGGUCCCACCUGCCCUGUGACCAAAAGUUUAACGGCCGCGGUAUCCUAACCGUGCGAAGGUAGCGCAAUCAAUUGCCUUUUAAAUGAAGGCCUGUAUGAAUGGUAUAACGAGGGUUUAACUGUCUCUUUUUUCCAGUCAGUUAAACUGAUCUGUCCGUGCAGAAGCGGACAUAAAAAUACAAGACGAGAAGACCCUAUGGAGCUUUAGAUUCUAACCAAUCAUGGAAAGCAGCCUAAACGAAACUGGCCCUAAGCACCCAUGAAAUUGGCAUAAAAAUCUUAGGUUGGGGCGACCACGGGAGAAAACGAAGCUCCCGAGUGGACCAGGGUGACCCUGAAACCGAGAGUUACAGCUCUAAGUCGCAGAAUUUUUGACUAAAAUGAUCCGGCCUACGGCCGAUUAACGAACCAAGUUACCCUAGGGAUAACAGCGCAAUCCCCUCCCAGAGUCCUUAUCGACGAGAGGGUUUACGACCUCGAUGUUGGAUCAGGACAUCCUAAUGGUGCAGCCGCUAUUAAGGGUUCGUUUGUUCAACGAUUAAAGUCCUACGUGAUCUGAGUUCAGACCGGAGUAAUCCAGGUCGGUUUCUAUCUGUAGUGCAACCACUCCUAGUACGAAAGGACCGGAGUGGUGAGGCCCCUGACAAAAGUUAAGCCUCUCAUCUACUUGCUGAAGACAACUAAAGCAGGCAAGGAUGAGCAACCUCGGGCCCAAGAAAAGGGCCCAUGUAUUCGC
rnacentral:rRNA from 1 species